rnacentral:rRNA from 1 species
UACAGAGGUCUCAAGCGUUGUUCGGAUUCAUUGGGCGUAAAGCGCACGUAGGCGGCUUUGUAAGUUAGAGGUGAAAGCCCGGGGCUCAACUCCGGAACUGCCUUUAAGACUGCAUCGCUUGAAUCCAGGAGAGGUGAGUGGAAUUCCGAGUGUAGAGGUGAAAUUCGUAGAUAUUCGGAAGAACACCAGUGGCGAAGGCGGCUCACUGGACUGGUAUUGACGCUGAGGUGCGAAAGCGUGGGGAGCAAACAGG